AGGGUUGUGGCUCAGUGGUAGAGUGCUUACCUAGCAUGUGUGAGGCCCUGGGUUCGAUCCUCAGCACCACAU
rnacentral:tRNA from 1 species